rnacentral:rRNA from 1 species
UACAGAGGUCUCAAGCGUUGUUCGGAUUCAUUGGGCGUAAAGGGUGCGUAGGCGGCGCGGUAAGUCGGGUGUGAAAUCUCGGAGCUUAACUCCGAAACUGCAUUCGAUACUGCCGUGCUUGAGGACUGGAGAGGAGACUGGAAUUUACGGUGUAGCGGUGAAAUGCGUAGAUAUCGGAAGGAACGCCGGUGGCGAAAGCGGCGUGCUGGAUCUCUUCUGACGCUGAGGCGCGAAAGCCAGGGGAGCAAACGGG